UACGUAGGGUGCGAGCGUUGUCCGGAUUUAUUGGGCGUAAAGAGCUCGUAGGCGGUUUGUCGCGUCGGCUGUGAAAACCCGGGGCUCAACCCCGGGCCUGCAGUCGAUACGGGCAGACUAGAGUGCGGUAGGGGAGACUGGAAUUCCUGGUGUAGCGGUGAAAUGCGCAGAUAUCAGGAGGAACACCGGUGGCGAAGGCGGGUCUCUGGGCCGUAACUGACGCUGAGGAGCGAAAGCGUGGGGAGCGAACAGG
rnacentral:rRNA from 1 species